UGAAAAAGAAGCAAAAAAGAGAAUUUACCUUAUUUCGUGUCAUCCGGAUGUAUUGGGUUUUGGCGCUUAUGUUGACAAGGAGAUUGCAGAUAAACUGAAAGGUUAGUGUUUUCAGAAAUAAUUAUUGAUAUCAAGUAAGUUAGGGUCUUGACAGUGGCAUGAUGCUUUUUAUUUUUUUUUCUCAAUAGAUGUGGAGUGUAUUCGUACCGUGUCUCCAGAUUUUUAUGACGAUGUUAGGCGGAAGGAUCCCAUUAGUAAGUUUACCAUUGUGCUCAACUGUAACUGUAAAAUUUUUGUUUCUUAUUUUUGUAUGUUCUCACCUCAGUGUGUUAUGUUUCUAGUUUCUACUAUCUAAUAAUACUUUUUGUCUUUGUUCAAUUGGUUUUGUUGCCUAUUUAUUCUAUAGGUUUGUUUUCCCUGUUUGAAGAAAAAAAGUAACGUCUAAAUUCAAGCUGUUAUAUAAUAGAGAGAAGUGAAUAAAAGAAGUUUAUUAGUGAGAUAAAACUGUGAAAGACCAAAUUCAGUUAAGGGUCAUAUGCCUAGAGACAACAGUGCGUCUCCACAAAUGAUCAUGCUCUCCCCCAAAUCCAACCGCUUGGUUUUUUUUUUUUUUUUUUAUCAAUAAAGGUUAUAUUUCAUUCCAUAAACUUGUGGAUUACAACUUGGUGAUGGAUAAUGGCCCACUAAUAAGUAACUAAUGGCACAAUAUUGCCCCCUUACAAAACGAGAUCAUCCCACUUAGAAACAAGAUCUUGAAAACCUAAGCUUCUAAAAUCCAAGACCCAUAUAGACCAAUCAAACAAUGUUUCUUUCAUUUAAAUUAAAAGUUUACAAGGUUCCUUCUUCAUGUGAUCAAAGAACCUCUUGUUCCUCCAUAGCACCCACACAGUUUUUGUUAAGCUUCUAAAAUCCCCAGCCUACCCUGUAACUUAGAAGCGCAAACUGUCCUAGCCAACUGAAUAAUAAUGAUGAACCUCCUUGGUACCCCCAAGAAAAAUCACGCAUAAUCUCAUCAAUACGAUUGGCAGCUUAAUUGGAGCCUGGAAGAGAGACAUUAAGUACACUUAGACAAGGAACUCAACUACUCGAGGACCAUUGUACUCUCUUGAUAUGCAUGUGUUUCAAAAAUGAAAAAGGCUUAUCAGUUUGCAAAAUAUUUAUGUGCAUGAUAUGAUGGUUUUCUGUGCAGAAGUCCUUGCUCUCUAUUCCUUGCAGAAUGGAAUCGUGAGACUCAAUAUUAUUUUUGAAGUACACUCAAAUUACAGCUCAGAAUUGGGAUCUAUUGCUCUGCUUCUAAUUCAUAUUUUUUAUUCUAUGCAGCUCGCAGAAUGAGUCAGUGAGCACAAAGCAAACAGUGCAGAACUCUGUGUGGUCAUACAGACGAAGAUUUACUUGGUUGAAGUGCUUUUGAGUUUCUCUUAUGUAUGUUGGUCUUUUAUGGAUGUUCAUUGAAGUCACUGUGAACAAGCCCAAUUUAAGGCAGAACUCUUAUGGAUUUUGGUUGAAGUAAUUUAUGGAUCUGUUACUAGCUUUGUCCAAGUAAUUACGUAUUAAAGGUAGUGACUGUCACCAUGCUGUAGACUUGUAGUUUAAUUCAUAAGAAGUUGCUCCCAACAAGACAAUAAUGUCGAUCUUGGAGGUUUAUUUUCUUGAAUAGAGGUUUUGGCAAAUGAUGUUCACAUUUGGGACAACUGGUAGAUGAGUGGCAAAAGAUAAAAUUCUUUAGAUAAGCCUUGAGAAUUUAUUCUGAUUAAAAGAGUAGAUAUGUUCUUCUGAAAAUCUAUACUAUACUAUUGGAAUGAUUCGGGUUGACCAUUUUACG
rnacentral:lncRNA from 1 species